rnacentral:rRNA from 1 species
AACGAACGCUGGCGGCAUGCCUAACACAUGCAAGUCGAACGAGACCUUCGGGUCUAGUGGCGCACGGGUGCGUAACGCGUGGGAACCUGCCUUUAGGUUCGGAAUAACUCAGGGAAACUUGAGCUAAUACCAUAUAAUGUCUUCGGACCAAAGAUUUAUCGCCCUGAGAUAAGCCCGCGUAGGAUUAGCUAGUUGGUGGGUAAAGGCUCACCAAGGCGACGAUCCUUAGCUGGUCUGAGAGGAUGAUCAGCCACACUGGGACUGAGACACGGCCCAGACUCCUACGGGAGGCAGCAGUGGGGAAUAUUGGACAAUGGGCGCAAGCCUGAUCCAGCAAUGCCGCGUGCAGGAUGAAGGCCUUCGGUGUAACUAGCUUUGUUACGGUAACGAAA